CCUACGGGAGGCAGCAGUGAGGAAUAUUGGUCAAUGGGAGCGAUCCUGAACCAGCCAAGCCGCGUGAAGGAUGACGGCCCUAUGGGUUGUAAACCUCUUUUGUCGGGGAACAAAAUCCGGCACGUGUGCCUUACUGCAGGUAUCCCAUGAAAAAGGAUCGGCUAACUCCGUGCCAGCAGCCGCGGUAAUACGGAGGAUCCGCGCGUUAUCCGGAUUUAUUGGGUUUAAAGGGAGCGUAGGCGGUCCGUUAAGUCAGUGGUAAAAUGCCGGGGCUCAACCUCGUAGAGCCGUUGAAACUGGGAGACUUGAGUUGGCGAGAGGUAGGCGGAAUUCGCGGUGUAGCGGUGAAAUGCAUAGAUAUCGCGAAGAACUCCGAUUGCGAAGGCAGCGUACCGGAGCCAGACUGACGCUGAGGCACGAAGGCGUGGGGAUCGAACAGGAUUAGAUACCCUUGUAGUC
rnacentral:rRNA from 1 species